AAGGAUAGUACUAUAUCCUCGCUGGCUAUUACUUACCACAUCGCGAAACUAAGUUACGGGCGAGCUCUGCGGACUUGCUGUGGUAAGAGGUAGACAGCGAGCAUACAAGGGGAUGAUAACCAACACCAGGGAAGGAGAGUGGGUCGAACCUUGAUUUGUCGUUUCCCCGGUAGGCGCUGUGACUCGAUGAAAUCAUCACCAUGUGGCGAAUCCUAUGUAGAGGGGAAGCCCGCAAUGCACUAAUGCUACCCCAAGGAUCGCGGAGUACAUUUAUUGGACGUUUCACGAUGCCCUAAUUAAUUAUUCAGUGAGAAUAGAAAGAAGAACAUAACUCUUUGAGUGGCCGUAUACUGAAUAGGGUUAAAUUAUCAAGGAUUAUACAUGUUGGGAUUUCAGAAUGUGGCUGUUGGCCGUAUUAGCGGGGUGGCGCUUUCUUAUAAAGAAAAGUAUGAGCGUUUCACCGAGACAUAAAAAGUGGUCGCAUUAACGAGGUGACCAUAAGGCAGAGUUCCAUUGCACUGGGAACAAUUUUGGUAGAAACAUUUAUCCCUCUGGAAACGAAGUGACGCACGUUCAAUAUGCCUUUAAAGCUAUUGGACUAUUUCCUUAGUAUGUUGACAAAAAAUAGAUCGAGAUAGCAAAAAACGUAAUAACACACUUAAAAAGAAGUGUUUUAAUUCGAUUGUUUUGAGCCCGGUUUGAAACGUUUCCAUUUUCCCUUGACUUCCUUCUGCCUUACAGGGAAAUUCUUACAGUGUUUUUUCAAGUUUCUGGCAUUUUUGUUUUCACUUUUAUCUUAAGAACGACAAACUUAAUACGGCAAGUUUAAUCAUGUUGUUAUGACUAAUAGUGAGCCACGCGAAUAAAUGUUUGCAAGCAUCGUUUGCGCAGUAAUAAUUUGUUUAACUUUUCCUUCUCUUCUACUUUUCAGCGGAAAAGGUUCUGUUAUUGACACGUAUUCAUUUUCAUUUCAUUCUGGUCGACUCAUUAAAACCAGGAAACUCCCCCAGUGUUGUUUUAGUUUCUAUCACUUUUGGUCUCAUUUUCAUCAGAAGACUGCGAAACUGAACACGAGGAAAAGGUCUUGUCAUUGGCGCUUAUCCAUUUGGUUUCAUUCUGGUCGACUCAUCAAACCCCAUUCUAUCACUUUUGAUUCAAUUUCGUCCGAGGAUCGAGAGACUGACCACGCGGAAAGAAAGAACCCUGGAACAUUUUGCGAAUUCGAUGAUCGAAAAAAAACGGGGAACAUUGAUCAGUCCAAUCAUCACCGUCGUUUCAGCCGAGUAGGACAAAACUGGUGUUCGAGCAUAAAAUGUGACUGAAGUUCUUAUGCACUAAGACCAUCCUCGUCAUCAACUCGUGUGCCGUCUGUGAAUGGAUUUGUACAGGUUUUUCCAAAGCAUUAACAAAGAGGAGUGCAUGGAAUUCCGUUCUUGAAACAGCUACAGAGUCCCUUGCAGUCUAACUUGCAGCUGCAUUUGAUAAGCUCAAUAACAGCUUGGGGUGCAGGGAGAGACAAGUAUAUAACGGGCACGUAUGCUCCUUAGUUUCCGCUCCAGCCGUUCUCUGUAAUGAGGGGAAGAUCUGGGCAGGUGAUGGUAUAGGAUUUGUCACGCAUGGCUAGGAGGUUUGCGCGCUUGAUGGCAGCAUCUCACCUUCCAAGUUCCUGAGUCACAAGAGCUCCCAUCGAAGUUCAGGAAGGGUGGUAGGUCCCACUUUGCAAUACACUUGGCAGACAAAUUUCUCUAGGUCUUUAACCUGAGUUGGCAGUUCUCCGUUGGCUAACUGGUUUUGGAUAAGACGCUCAGACCAGCUUGAUGGUUGUGUUGCUGGAGAAGCGCGCUAAUAAUCCAUUUACGAACAAAGUGACCAGUCUCAGCUUUUUCAUAGCGUCCCAUAAGGAGUGCUUAGAAGAUAUUUGUCUUCAACAAAUGCUUCAAACCGCUUUUGGCUCUUCUCUGCCUAGCGCAGGAUAUCUUCCUUUGCUUUUUCAGGCACAAGAGCUGACGACAUCACACUCUUCUAGGGAGACUCAACUGUAAAUGGGUUACCUUCGCAGUGUAGCUCUAUCGACUGGCGGAGUUUCAUGGCGUUUUUUCGCGUUCUUACAGCAACAUCCCAAGAGAGUUGAUAGUGCUCGUUCUCCUCAGAAGCCUCGGAAACUUUAGGAAAGCGUUUUGUUGCUCUACCAUACGGUAGAGAUACAGUGACGUGACAAGAGGGUGAUCUACGGCGGCUUCGUCUUGACUUAACCCGAACAUACCUCCGUGGCGCUUUAAUACUUUGAUCUCCUGUUCUAGCGUCUGAUCUGUGAACAACCUCGUGAACGGGAUCCCUGACUUCGCGACAACAAAAUCCUCGGACUUCAAUGCCUCAUAUGUCAUAAGGUCCUCAUGCUCGAGUGCGUUCAUUUGCGCGAGGUGGACUGGCAUUAGCCGAGCGCAGUUGAGGAGAUCGUGCGCGAAGAAGUUCUUUAUCAGGCAUUCCAUCGCUGCCAGGUAGCCUUCCCAGUCCCCAGAGCGGCAAGCAUGGAUGAGCUGUAACAGGUUGUGCAAUUACUUGAGGUACUCUAUCAUAAAUCGUUCAAGAUUUCAAGUCCUUGUUCUUCACGGUCUUGUGGUUUGACCUUUUCAGAGUACCAGGGCUGGAUGUCGUCAUAGAUGUUAACCAUUUUUGGACUACGCUCGUGGAAGGCCUCUUGAAAGGAUACGAAGCUACGAAUAGAGAGUUUCAUUUUAUUCAGUUGUUCACCAUUCUCUGCGUUAGCUUAGCCUAAAUAAUUUCCAUUACAAACUUGCCAUCGGGAGGAAAAAACUAAACUUUAUUAUGCCCAUUACUGUGCUUCCUGCGCUCACGAUUUCGAUUUGGCACAUGUGAAAUGCCACGUCUAAAUCAAAUACCGCAUGUUUUUAAUUCGAAGCGACUCAAGUUGGUAUUUGAUUCGGCGCAUAUGAAAUUUGACGUGUAAACCUGGCCUAAGUGAAAAAAAAAAAAUAAAUAAACAGCCGUAAAACUCCAAACUCUAGGCGUGUUUCGCAAUUUUAAGCCCUGAAAAGAAACUCGUCCGUUUGAGCAGCACAUGUUAUCAUUCGUUACUUAGGGUGCGUUUCUUUGUUAAGAUCAUUCCCCAGUAUUGCACUGCGCAUCCCUACUGCCCAUAA